rnacentral:lncRNA from 1 species
CUGGUUCUCUCACUGAGGAGCAGUGGAAUUUUCAACAAAUUUGUUAAUUUCCCUGAGCUUCUGUUUUCUCAUCAGUGACAGGGGCAUCCUAACAUCCCCACAGAAUCUCAAAGGGACUAUGAGGCUGAAAGAAGCAAGGCAUAUGGAAUGCCUCAUCCAGCGAUGGGUGCAGAGAGAAGAAUCUACAGAAUCACUUUCUUACCCAGAAGAGCAGGAGCUCAGCUUGGUGCACUUGAGCUUAUACCAGCUAAUAGCGGGUCCAGUUCUUCCUUGCUACUGGCCUGCUCUCCUGGUUCCAAGGUAGCAGCAUUGUUCUCCCCAGAGAGGACUUCACUGAAUAUGCUCAUCAGUGAUGUUGGCUGAACUCCCCUGCUCCAACUGUCACUCUCUCCAUGACUCUGUCACACGUUCUUCUUAGACUUCUUAAUAUUAAAAAAGCAUCCCCUGGCCAGGCACGGUGGCUCACGCCUGUAAUCCGAGCACUUUGGGAGGCCGAGGCAGGCGGAUCACAAGGUCAGGAGAUCGAGACCACGGUGAAACCCCGUCUCUACUAAAAAUACAAAAAAAAUUAGUUGGGCACAGUGGUGGGCACCUGUAGUCCCAGCUACUUGGGAGGCUGAGGCAGGAGAAUGGCGUGAACCCUGGAGGUGGAGCUUGCAGUGGGAGGGAGGGGGGGAAGCAUCCCCUUUAUUUGUGUGUUUAUUGGUGUAUAAUCUGGUUCUCCUCUAGAAGGUAAGUUCUAUUAGAAGAAGACACCUUUCCGGUUUGAUUAUUUCUGUCUUACCAGUGUCUACAAGAAC